GAUGAACGCUGGCGGCGUGCCUAAUACAUGCAAGUCGAGCGAAUGGAUUAAGAGCUUGCUCUUAUGAAGUUAGCGGCGGACGGGUGAGUAACACGUGGGUAACCUGCCCAUAAGACUGGGAUAACUCCGGGAAACCGGGGCUAAUACCGGAUAACAUUUUGAACCGCAUGGUUCGAAAUUGAAAGGCGGCUUCGGCUGUCACUUAUGGAUGGACCCGCGUCGCAUUAGCAAGUUGGUGAGGUAACGGCUCACCAAGGCAACGAUGCGUAGCCGACCUGAGAGGGUGAUCGGCCACACUUGGACUGAGACACGGCCCAGACUCCUACGGGAGGCAGCAGUAGGGAAUCUUCCGCAAUGGACGAAAGUCUGACGGAGCAACGCCGCGUGAGUGAUGAAGGCUUUCGGGUCGUAAAACUCUGUUGUUAGGGAAGAACAAGUGCUAGCUGAAUAAGCUGGCACCUUGACGGUACCUAACCAGAAAGCCACGGCUAACUACGUGCCAGCCGCCGCAGUAA
rnacentral:rRNA from 1 species